UACGGAGGGUGCGAGCGUUGUCCGGAAUCACUGGGCGUAAAGGGCGCGUAGGCGGUGACUUAAGCGUGUGGUGAAAGCCCGGGGCUCAACCCCGGGUCGGCCGUGCGAACUGGGUCACUCGAGCACUGUAGAGGCAGGUGGAAUUCCGGGUGUAGCGGUGGAAUGCGUAGAGAUCCGGAAGAACACCAGUGGCGAAGGCGGCCUGCUGGGCAGUAGCUGACGCUGAGGCGCGACAGCGUGGGGAGCAAACAGGAUUAGAUACCCUGGUAGUCCACGCCGUAAACGAUGGGCACUAGGUGCUUGGGGGAACGACCCCCCGAGUGCCGGCGCUAACGCAUUAAGUGCCCCGCCUGGGGAGUACGGCCGCAAGGCUGAA
rnacentral:rRNA from 1 species